CAAGCACCUCGGUAGGUGAGGCGUCUGCAUGGAUACAGGCCACUGACCCCGAACGUCGAGAGACGCCCCGGGUCAGGACAGCUCUUCCCGGACCCAAGGGUUGAGCCCAAGUGGCUUCCGGACGAAGUUCCGGAUACGCCGUGCAGUGCCGAAGCUCCGACGAGAGGGGUGCGAC
rnacentral:sRNA from 2 species